CUGAAAAUCACUUGCACUUUGUAAAGCACCUUGUUACACACAUUCCUCCGUAAAAAGAGGUCAACUUUGAUUGGUAUUCAAGUAUUGGCCUAUUGGGAUACCAGCCUUCAAUGAUUGUGGGUGGUAACUGGCCCAAUUCAGGAGACCAUUAGUAGCUGUUUUUUUCUUGAAGAGGGUAGUUGUUAUGGUACACUCUUCUUUAAUUGUAAUGGUUAAGUCCAAGAAGUUAAGUUGUUUGCCACCAACCUCACUGGUAAAUCUCAGAUUGAGAUCAUUCGUAUUGAGGAGCUUAACAAAAUCCUUAAAAUCCUGUUUAGAUCCUAGCCAGAUGAUUAGUACAUCGUCGAUGUACCUUUUCCAACAUGAUACCAGCUCUGUG